CCUACGGGUGGCAGCAGUGAGGAAUAUUGGUCAAUGGGCGAAAGCCUGAACCAGCCAAGUAGCGUGCAGGAUGACGGCCCUACGGGUUGUAAACUGCUUUUAUACGGGAAUAACUCGCCUUACGUGUGGGAUUUUGUAUGUACCAUAUGAAUAAGGAUCGGCUAACUCCGUGCCAGCAGCCGCGGUAAUACGGAGGCUCCGAGCGUUAUCCGGAUUUAGUGGGUUUAAAGGGAGCGUAGGUGGAUUGUUAAGUCAGUUGUGAAAGUUUGCGGCUCAACCGUAAAAUUGCAGUUGAAACUGGCAGUCUUGAGUACAGUAGAGGUAGGCGGAAUUCGUGGUGUAGCGGUGAAAUGCUUAGAUAUCACGAAGAACUCCGAUUGCGAAGGCAGUUCACUGGACUGCAACUGACACUGAGGCUCGAAAGUGUGGGUAUCAAACAGGAUUAGAUACCCUGGUAGUC
rnacentral:rRNA from 1 species